UGCCUAUGAUGCAUUCAUAUUGCACGUAUUAUCAGAUGAAGGAUGAUGAUAAUACUUGAUAUUGUCACUACCUCUGAGGCA
rnacentral:snoRNA from 1 species